rnacentral:rRNA from 1 species
GGAUUAGAUACCCUGGUAGUCCACGCCGUAAACGAUGAGCACUAGAUAUGGGGGGAUUGACCCCUUCCGUGUCGCAGCUAACGCAUUAAGUGCUCCGCCUGGGGAGUACGGUCGCAAGACUAAAACUCAAAGGAAUUGACGGGGGCCCGCACAAGCGGUGGAUUAUGUGGUUUAAUUCGAAGCAACGCGCAGAACCUUACCUGGGCUUGAAAUCUUGCGAAAUUUUCAGAGAUGAUUAUGUGCCUUUCGAGGAACGCAAUGACAGGCGCUGCAUGGCUGUCGUCAGCUCGUGCCG